GAUGAACGCUAGCUACAGGCUUAACACAUGCAAGUCGCGGGGCAGCAUGGGGGUUGCUUGCAAUCCCCGAUGGCGACCGGCGCACGGGUGCGUAACGCGUAUCCAACCUGCCCUUCACCACGGGAUAACCCGGCGAAAGUCGGACUAAUACCGUAUGUUGUCCAUUGACGGCAUCCGAUUUGGACGACGGGCUUGGCGGUGAGGGAUGGGGAUGCGUCCGAUUAGCUAGACGGCGGGGUAACGGCCCACCGUGGCUACGAUCGGUAGGGGUUCUGAGAGGAAGGUCCCCCACACUGGAACUGAGACACGGUCCAGACUCCUACGGGAGGCAGCAGUGAGGAAUAUUGGUCAAUGGGCGUAAGCCUGAACCAGCCAAGUAGCGUGCAGGAUGACGGCCCUAUGGGUUGUAAACUGCUUUUAUGCGGGGAUAAAGUGGCCCACGUGUGGGCUUUUGCAGGUACCGCAUGAAUAAGGACCGGCUAAUUCCGUG
rnacentral:rRNA from 1 species